UCCACUAACAACCUACUAUUAUCAACUAAACUACCUAACUAUUAGUCUAAUUCUCAUGGUUGUCAAUAAUCAAUCAAUAACUUAUUACAAAAUUUAUUUACAUAUUCUACAUAGCUCCACUCCUAAUUAUGCAGCGCCCUUAGGAAUAUUAUUUAGCCUCAACUUAUUAAGACCUUGUAGCAUUGGCUGCUUCAAUCAAUAGUGUUGACUUAUCAUCCUUUGAAUUGGUGACCUUCUCCUCUGCUACAUCUUCGUCAUCUGCCUUAUUGUUCGAUGGUUCUUUAUCCAAA
rnacentral:lncRNA from 1 species